CAAGUCGAGCGGACCUGAUGGAGUGCUUGCACUCCUGAUGGUUAGCGGCGGACGGGUGAGUAACACGUAGGCAACCUGCCCGUAAGACCGGGAUAACUACCGGAAACGGUAGCUAAUACCGGAUAAUCAAGUCUCUCGCAUGAGAGGCUUGGGAAAGGCGGAUCAGUCUGUCUCUUAGGGAUGGGCCUGCGGCGCAUUAUGUAGUUGGUGGGGUAACGGCUCGCCAAGGCGACCAUGCGUGGCCGAACUGAUAGGGUGAACGGCCACACUGGGACUGACACACGGCCCGAACUCCUACGGGAGGUAGCAGUAGGGAAUCUUCCGCAAUGGACGAAAGUCUGACGGAGCAACGCCGCGUGAGUGAUGAAGGUUUUCGGAUCGUUUAGCUCUGUUGCCAGGGAAGAACGUCUUGUGGAGUAACUGCUACGAGAGUGACGGUACCUGAGAAGAAAGCCCCGGCUAACUACGUGCCAGCAUCCGCGGUAAUACGUACGGGGCAAGCGUUGUCCGGAAUUAUUGGGCGUAAAGCGCGCGCAAGCGGCUGUUUAAGUCUGGUGUAUAAUCCUGGGGCUCAUCUCCGGGUCGCACUGGAAACUGGACGGCUUGAUUGCAGAAGAGGAGAGUGGAAUUCCACGUGUAGCUCUGAAAUGCGUAGAGAUGUGCAGGAACACCAGUGGCAACAGCGACUCUCUGGGCUGUAACUGACGCUGAAGCUCGAACUCAUGCGCAGCAAACGUGGAUUAGCAUACCCUGAGUAGUCCACCUGGUAGACCAUGACUGCUACGUGUUAGGGGUUUCGAUACGCUUGGUGACGAACUAGACACAUUAAGCACUCCGCCUGGCGAGUACGGCCGGCAAGGCUGAAACUCAAGGUAAUUG
rnacentral:rRNA from 1 species